rnacentral:tRNA from 1 species
GCCGGUGUAGCUCGUAGAGCACUUGACUUGUAUUCUGUAAUCAGUAGUUGGAGAUUCAAGUUCCCUCGCCGGUA